rnacentral:rRNA from 1 species
GGUCGGUUUGGCCGGAUUUCACACAGGUGUUGCAUGGCUGUCGUCAGCUCGUGUCGUGAGAUGUUGGGUUAAGUCCCGCAACGAGCGCAACCCUCAUCCUUAGUUACCAUCAGGUUAUGCUGGGGACUUUAAGGAAACUGCCAGUGAUAAACUGGGGGAAGGUGGGGAUGAUGUCAAGUCAUCAUGGCCCUUAUGGAGUGGGCUACACAUGUGCUACAAUGGUGAUUACAAUGGGCUGCAAGGUCGCAAGGCUAAGCUAAUCCUAAAAAAUCAUCUCAGUUCGGAUCGUUCUCUGCAACACGAGAGCAUGAAGUUGGAAUCGCUAGUAAUCGUGGAUCGGCAUGCCACGGUGAAUACGUUCUCGGGUCUUGUACACACUGCCCGUCACGCCAUGGGAAUUGGUUUCACUCGAAGCU